GUAGCUCAGUGGUAGAGUGCUUGCCUUGCAUGCAUGAGGUCCUGGGUUCAAUUCCUCAGC
rfam:Dipodomys ordii contig_16878, whole genome shotgun sequence.